UACGGGGGGUGCGAGCGUUAAUCGGAAUUACUGGGCGUAAAGGGUGCGUAGGUUGUUGUCUAAGUUAUCUGUGAAAUUCCUGGGCUUAACCUAGGGCUGUCAGAUAAGACUGGAUGACUCGAGUAUGGGAGAGGGUAGUGGAAUUUCCGGUGUAGCGGUGAAAUGCGUAGAGAUCGGAAGGAACACCAGUGGCGAAGGCGGCUACCUGGCCUGAUACUGACACUGAGGCACGAAAGCGUGGGGAGCAAACAGG
rnacentral:rRNA from 1 species